UACGGGGGGGGCAAGCGUUGUUCGGAAUUACUGGGCGUAAAGGGCGCGUAGGCGGCCUGCUAAGUCGGACGUGAAAUCCCUCGGCUUAACCGGGGGAACUGCGUCUGAUACUGGAUGGCUUGAGGUUGGGAGAGGGACACGGAACUCCGGGGUGGAGUGGUGAAAUGCGUAGAUAAUCCGGAAGAACACCAAAGGCGAAGGCAGUGUCCUGGCUGGUUCCUGACGCUAAGGUGCGAAAGCUAGGGGAGCGAAC
rnacentral:rRNA from 1 species